rnacentral:rRNA from 1 species
UAGGGAAUCUUCGGCAAUGGACGAAAGUCUGACCGAGCAACGCCGCGUGAGUGAAGAAGGUUUUCGGAUCGUAAAACUCUGUUGUUAGAGAAGAACAAGGACGUUAGUAACUGAACGUCCCCUGACGGUAUCUAACCAGAAAGCCACGGCUAACUACGUGCCAGCAGCCGCGGUAAUACGUAGGUGGCAAGCGUUGUCCGGAUUUAUUGGGCGUAAAGCGAGCGCAGGCGGUUUCUUAAGUCUGAUGUGAAAGCCCCCGGCUCAACCGGGGAGGGUCAUUGGAAACUGGGAGACUUGAGUGCAGAAGAGGAGAGUGGAAUUCCAUGUGUAGCGGUGAAAUGCGUAGAUAUAUGGAGGAACACCAGUGGCGAAGGCGGCUCUCUGGUCUGUAACUGAAGCUGAGGCUAGAAAGCGUGGGGAGCAAACAGG